rnacentral:rRNA from 1 species
AGAAUCAACGCUGGCGGCGUGCCUAACACAUGCAAGUCGAACGAGAAAGUGGAGCAAUCCAUGAGUAAAGUGGCGCACGGGUGAGUAACACGUGACUAACCUACCCUCGAGUGGGGAAUAACUUCGGGAAACCGAGGCUAAUACCGCAUAAAACCUAAGGGUCAAAGGAGCAAUCCGUUUGAGGAGGGGGUCGCGGCAGAUUAGUUAGUUGGCGGGGUAAUGGCCCACCAAGACGAUGAUCUGUAUCCGGCCUGAGAGGGCGCACGGACACACUGGAACUGAAACACGGUCCAGACUCCUACGGGAGGCAGCAGUGGGGAAUUUUGCGCAAUGGGGGAAACCCUGACGCGGCAACGCCGCGUGGAGGAUGAAAUCCCUUGGGAUGUAAACUCCUUUCGAUCGGGAAGAUAAUGACGGUACCGGAAGAAGAAGCCCCGGCUAACUUCGCGCCAGCAGCCGC